UUCCUAUUAGGUUAGUGCCAUUGUCUGA
rnacentral:sRNA from 1 species